rnacentral:rRNA from 1 species
CCUACGGGAGGCAGCAGUGAGGAAUCUUGGUCAAUGGUCGGGAGACUGAACCAGCCAAGCCGCGUGAGGGAGGAAGGUACAGAGUAUCGUAAACCUCUUUUGUCAGGGAACAAAGGCGGGGACGUGUCUCCGGAUGAGUGUACCUGAAGAAAAAGCAUCGGCUAACUCCGUGCCAGCAGCCGCGGUAAUACGGAGGAUGCGAGCGUUAUCCGGAUUUAUUGGGUUUAAAGGGUGCGCAGGCGGUUGGUUAAGUUAGCGGUGAAAGCCCGGGGGCUAACCCCCGCAGCGCCUUUGAAACUGGCAGUCUCGAGUUGGAGAGAGGUAUGCGGAAUGCGCGGUGUAGCGGUGAAAUGCAUAGAUAUCGCGCAGAACUCCGAUUGCGAAGGCAGCAUGCCGGCUCCACACUGACGCUGAGGCACGAAAGCGUGGGUAUCGAACAGGAUUAGAUACCCUUGUAGUC